GGCUCAGGAUGAACGCUAGCUACAGGCUUAACACAUGCAAGGUCGAGGGGAAACGAUAUUGGAAGCUUGCUUCUGAUAGGCGUCGACCGGCGCACGGGUGAGUAACGCGUAUCCAACCUGCCCAUCACUUGGGGGAUAACCUUGUGAAAGUAAGACUAAUACCCAAUGACGUCUCUAGAAGACAUCUGAAAGAGAUUAAAGAUUUAUCGGUGAUGGAUGGGGAUGCGUCUGAUUAGCUUGUUGGCGGGGUAACGGCCCACCAAGGCGACGAUCAGUAGGGGUUCUGAGAGGAAGGUCCCCCACAUUGGAACUGAGACACGGUCCAAACUCCUACGGGAGGCAGCAGUGAGGAAUAUUGGUCAAUGGACGAGAGUCUGAACCAGCCAAGUAGCGUGCAGGAUGACGGCCCUAUGGGUUGUAAACUGCUUUUAUAAGGGAAUAAAGUGGGAGUCGUGACUCUUUUUGCAUGUACCUUAUGAAUAAGGACCGGCUAAUUCCGUG
rnacentral:rRNA from 1 species